CCUACGGGGGGCAGCAGUGAGGAAUAUUGGUCAAUGGGCGCGAGCCUGAACCAGCCAAGUAGCGUGAAGGAAGACUGCCCUACGGGUUGUAAACCUCUUUUAUAAAGGAAUAAAGUGAGGCACGUGUGCCUUUUUGCAUGUACUUGAUGAAAAAGGAUCGGCUAACUCCGUGCCAGCAGCCGCGGUAAUACGGAGGAUCCGAGCGUUAUCCGGAUUUAUUGGGUUUAAAGGGUGCGUAGGUGGGUUGUUAAGUCAGUUGUGAAAGUUUGCGGCUCAACCGUAAAAUAGCAGUUGAUACUGGCAGUCUUGAGUACAGUUGAGGUAGGCGGAAUGCGUGGUGUAGCGGUGAAAUGCUUAGAUAUCGCGAAGAACUCCGAUUGCGAAGGCAGCUUACUAGACUGCCACUGACAUUGAUGCUCGAAAGUGUGGGUAUCGAACAGGAUUAGAUACCCCGGUAGUC
rnacentral:rRNA from 1 species